GGCAGUGUGGCUUAGUGGUUAGAGCGCCGGAUAUGACCUGGGAGACCCGGGGUUCAAAUCCUUACUCGGCUA